rnacentral:rRNA from 1 species
AGCGGACAGAUGGGAGCUUGCUCCCUGAUGUCAGCGGCGGACGGGUGAGUAACACGUGGGUAACCUGCCUGUAAGACUGGGAUAACUCCGGGAAACCGGGGCUAAUACCGGAUGCUUGAUUGAACCGCAUGGUUCAAUUAUAAAAGGUGGCUUUUAGCUACCACUUACAGAUGGACCCGCGGCGCAUUAGCUAGUUGGUGAGGUAACGGCUCACCAAGGCAACGAUGCGUAGCCGACCUGAGAGGGUGAUCGGCCACACUGGGACUGAGACACGGCCCAGACUCCUACGGGAGGCAGCAGUAGGGAAUCUUCCGCAAUGGACGAAAGUCUGACGGAGCAACGCCGCGUGAGUGAUGAAGGUUUUCGGAUCGUAAAACUCUGUUGUUAGGGAAGAACAAGUACCGUUCGAAUAGGGCGGUACCUUGACGGUACCUAACCAGAAAGCCACGGCUAACUACGUGCCAGCAGCCGCGGUAAUACGUAGGUGGCAAGCGUUGUCCGGAAUUAUUGGGCGUAAAGCGCGCGCAGGCGGUUUCUUAAGUCUGAUGUGAAAGCCCCCGGCUCAACCGGGGAGGGUCAUUGGAAACUGGGGAACUUGAGUGCAGAAGAGGAGAGUGGAAUUCCACGUGUAGCGGUGAAAUGCGUAGAGAUGUGGAGGAACACCAGUGGCGAAGGCGACUCUCUGGUCUGUAACUGACGCUGAGG